AUUGAACGCUGGCGGAAUGCUUUACACAUGCAAGUCGAACGGCAGCACGGGGGCAACCCUGGUGGCGAGUGGCGAACGGAUGAGUAAUACAUCGGAACGUGCCCGGUCGUGGGGGAUAACGUAGCGAAAGUUACGCUAAUACCGCAUACGAUCUGAGGAUGAAAGCGGGGGACCUUCGGGCCUCGCGCGAUCGGAGCGGCCGAUGUCAGAUUAGGUAGUUGGUGGGGUAAAGGCCUACCAAGCCGACGAUCUGUAGCUGGUCUGAGAGGACGACCAGCCACACUGGGACUGAGACACGGCCCAGACUCCUACGGGAGGCAGCAGUGGGGAAUUUUGGACAAUGGGCGCAAGCCUGAUCCAGCCAUUCCGCGUGCAGGACGAAGGCCUUCGGGUUGUAAACUGCUUUUGUAUGGAACGAAAAGGCUCUGGCUAAUACCUGGGGCUCAUGACGGUACCGUAAGAAUAAGCACCGGCUAACUACGUG
rnacentral:rRNA from 1 species